AGCUAGGUGGCUCAGACGGUAAAGCAUCUGCCUACAAUGCAGGAGACCCGGGUUCAAUCCCUGGGCUG
rnacentral:tRNA from 1 species